rnacentral:rRNA from 1 species
GGCGUGCUUAACACAUGCAAGUCGAACGAUGAAGCCCUUCGGGGUGGAUUAGUGGCGAACGGGUGAGUAACACGUGGGCAAUCUGCCCUUCACUCUGGGACAAGCCCUGGAAACGGGGUCUAAUACCGGAUAUCACUCUCGCAGGCAUCUGUGAGGGUCGAAAGCUCCGGCGGUGAAGGAUGAGCCCGCGGCCUAUCAGCUUGUUGGUGAGGUAAUGGCUCACCAAGGCGACGACGGGUAGCCGGCCUGAGAGGGCGACCGGCCACACUGGGACUGAGACACGGCCCAGACUCCUACGGGAGGCAGCAGUGGGGAAUAUUGCACAAUGGGCGAAAGCCUGAUGCAGCGACGCCGCGUGAGGGAUGACGGCCUUCGGGUUGUAAACCUCUUUCAGCAGGGAAGAAGCGAAAGUGACGGUACCUGCAGAAGAAGCGCCGGCUAACUACGUGCCAGCAGCCGCGGUAAUACGUAGGGCGCAAGCGUUGUCCGGAAUUAUUGGGCGUAAAGAGCUCGUAGGCGGCUUGUCACGUCGGGUGUGAAAGCCCGGGGGUUAACCCCGGUUCUGCAUUCGAUACGGGCUAGCUAGAGUGUGGUAGGGAGAUCGAAUGC